rnacentral:rRNA from 1 species
GAAGCAACGGGCAGAACUUUACCAACCCUUGACAUCCCGGGACCGGUCCAGAGAUGGAUCUUUCACUUCGGUGACUCGGUGACAGGUGCUGCAUGGCUGUCGUCAGCUCGUGUCGUGAGAUGUUCGGUUAAGUCCGGCAACGAGCGCAACCCACAUCCUUAGUUGCCAGCAGUUCGGCUGGGCACUCUAGGGAAACUGCCCGUGAUAAGCGGGAGGAAGGUGUGGAUGACGUCAAGUCCUCAUGGCCCUUACGGGUUGGGCUACACACGUGCUACAAUGGCAGUGACAAUGGGUUAAUCCCAAAAAACUGUCUCAGUUCGGAUUGGGGUCUGCAACUCGACCCCAUGAAGUCGGAAUCGCUAGUAAUCGCGUAACAGCAUGACGCGGUGAAUACGUUCCCGGGCCUUGUACACUCCGCCC